GAGGGCGAAAGGGUGGGAAAAAAGAAAGGGAAAGGUGGGAUAAUAUAGCCAGGAGCGGCGGGGUUCGAAGGGAAGCUAGUCGCCUCGUCUAAAUUCAGCGCAAGCUUCUAGGGCAUAAAAACUGGUAGGGCCUCUAUGGGUUUCCAUUUCUUUUGCAAGUUUGAAACUGCGCCAGUCGCCUGCUAAGAUGAUAGCCACCUGGAAAUACAAUCUGAGUAAACGCAAUAGAAACUUCUAGGAAAACAAGGUUUAACCCUACUUCAAACAGCCCAGGAGAUUUUAAGGAGAAGAACCUAUAUCAAAAGGAGUUGAUACACAUCUGCUGAAUGAAUGAAGCCAAAGGAAAGGAAAGACCAUGUAAGAACACAGAGUAGGCCCCAGCCUGCAAGCAAGGAAGAGAGCUCUCCCAGAAAUCAACCCUGAUGGCACCUUGAUCUUGGACUUCUAACUUCCAGAAUGCUCUGAUAAACAUAGACCAGUAGAGGAUGAAGAGCCAAAGAAAAGUACCACUUCAUCUUCUACCUCAGAAGAAGAAAAGAAGAAGAAAUCUAGUUGCUCAAAAUAAAGGUCCAAGAAAAGGAGAAAGAAAAAAUCAUCUAAAAGAAAAUACAAGAAGUAUUCUGAUGAUAGUGACAGUGACUCUGAUUCUGAAACAGACUCCAGUGAUGAAAAUACCAAAAAGAAAGCAAGAAGGCCAAGAAAAAGGAAAAGAAGCACAGCCUGGCAGCUUCACAUCAGGAAGACAGCAUGAAGAAUGCCAAGGUCUGACUGCUUCUUUUCAAUGAUUCAUUAAUGUGGGACCAUCUCCUUCAUUUUGUUUCCAGCAACACUAAACCAAAGGUUCCCUUAAGCAUUUAAUCAUCAGGAACCAGGGUUCUUUCAAGGAUGCUGAAAUGAGGCCGAAUACAUUUGAAGGCAUGACUGUCAGUUCUGAGCUGGGCAAGGUGUUGGAUGCAAGACUAGCUAGUGAACUGUACUGUGUCCUUGUUGAUGCUUUGCCUGGUAAUAGAAUGAAGAAAUGUUAGUGUCCUCACAAAAAACCAUCAGUUGUCCAGCUGCUCUGCCCCCUCCUCACUUAAGAGUGUCACCCUGGUGAUGCAGGGAGCUGAGCUUGGCAAAAACUCCUUUUAAAGUCACACUGAGGGAAACAGACCCCUACUUGAAAAGCUUAUCUUCAGUCUGAAGUAACUAUUCAAGAGCA